rnacentral:rRNA from 1 species
AGGAUGAACGCUGGCGGUAUGCUUUACACAUGCAAGUCGAACGCAAGUUUUUAACUUGAGUGGCGGACGGGUGAGUAACACGUGAGAAUUCGCCUUUAGGCGGGGAAUAACCAUCGGAAACAAUGGCUAAUGCCCCAUAUGCUCGUAAGAGUGAAAGGAGUAAUCCACCCAAAGAGAAGCUCGCGGCUGAUCAGCUAGUUGGUGAGGUAACGGCCCACCAAGGCGACGACGGGUAGCCGGCCUGAGAGGGCGACCGGCCACACUGGGACUGAGACACGGCCCAGACUCCUACGGGAGGCAGCAGUGGGGAAUAUUGCGCAAUGGGCGAAAGCCUGACGCAGCGACGCCGCGUGGGGGAUGAAUGCCUUCGGGUUGUAACCCCUUCAGCAGGGACGAAGCGAAAGUGACGGUACCUGCAGAAGAAGCGCCGGCUAACUACGUGCCAGCAGCCGC